rnacentral:rRNA from 1 species
AUGUCGACCGACGCCGACCGUGCCGCCACUGAGAAGGCCGAGGCCGACAAGAAGGCCGCCGAGGAUGCCGCGGCUGCUGCCACCGUCACCGCUGCCGCGUGGCCGAUUGGAGGGUAUACAUUGCUUAUCCCUCUCGUGUUUCUUUCUGUUCUAGCAGUACUAGCGAUAUGCGUAGAUGUUUCUACUAUGUGCGUAGUACAUGCUUUGUUAGAUCGUAAUCAGUGUGUUAUCAAUGAUGUUCAUGUCAUGCUCAUGAUUUAUUCAUGGAUUAAUUUAAUCGAAAACUGCCUAUUUAUUCAUCAAUCCAAAAACCUAAUGUGUGUAGGAGUUUUUCGAAUUCUGGUUUUGCUGCUGCACUGA